rnacentral:rRNA from 1 species
GAUGAACGCUGGCGGCGUGCUUAACACAUGCAAGUUGAGCGAAGCGCUUACGACAGAACCUUCGGGGGAAGAUGUAAGGGACUGAGCGGCGGACGGGUGAGUAACGCGUGGGUAACCUGCCUCAUACAGGGGGAUAACAGUUGGAAACGGCUGCUAAUACCGCAUAAGCGCACAGUAUCGCAUGAUACGGUGUGAAAAACUCCGGUGGUAUGAGAUGGACCCGCGUCUGAUUAGCUAGUUGGAGGGGUAACGGCCCACCAAGGCGACGAUCAGUAGCCGGCCUGAGAGGGUGAACGGCCACAUUGGGACUGAGACACGGCCCAGGCUCCUACGGGAGGCAGCAGUGGGGAAUAUUGCACAAUGGGCGAAAGCCUGAUGCAGCGACGCCGCGUGAGGGAUGACGGCCUUCGGGUUGUAAACCUCUUUCAGCAGGGAAGAAGCGAAAGUGACGGUACCUGCAGAAGAAGCACCGGCUAACUACGUG